AAAGGUCCAGCGCACAGGUUACAAAUUUGGAAAGAUGACUUGAACUGUCAUGCUCGCUAGGCGAGCAGAAUGGUUCGCCUAGCGAGCCACCAGAGUCUGAACUAUCAUGCUCGCUAGGCGAGCAAAUUCUUCGCUAGGCGAAGCCCACGCGUUUUGAAAAUAAAAAAAAUAUAACAAAAAAAUCUUGGACUGGGACCUCU
rnacentral:lncRNA from 1 species